GCUCGGGAUUGAACGCUGGCGGGAUGCUUACACACUACUGAAGUCGAACGGCAGCACGGACUUCGGUCUGGUGGCAGAGUGGCGAACGGGUGAGUAAUGUAUCGGAACGUGCCUAGUAGCGGGGAUAACUGGCUGCUGAAAGUGUAGCUAAUACUGUGGCAUACCUUCGGGGAAAGCGGGGGACCUGGGCCCCCCGCACUAUUAGAGCGGCUGAUAUCGGAUUAGCUAGUUGGUGGGGUAACGGCUCACCAAGGACGAUCCGUAGCUGGUUUGAGAGGACGACCAGCCACACUGGGACCGAGACACGGGACGCAGACUCCUACGGGAGGCAGCAGUGGGGAAUUUUGGACAAUGGGGGAAACCCUGAUCCAGCCAUCCCGCGUGUGCGAUGAAGGCCUUCGGGUUGUAAAGCACUUUUUGGCAGGGAAAGGGAAUGCACGGAUAAUACUCCCGUGCACCGACGGCGCCUCUGCAGAGCCAAGCACCGGCUAACUGGCUGUGCCAGCAGCCGCGUAAUACGUAGGUGCAAGCGUUAAUCGGAAUUGCUUCGGGCGUAAAGCGCGCAGGCGGUUCGGAAAAGAAAGAUGAAAUCCCAGAGCUAAUCUUCGAACUGCAUUUUUAACUACCGAGCUAGGAGUGUGUCAGAGGGAGGUGGAAUUCCGCGUGUAGUAGUGAAAUGCGUAGAUAUGCGGAGGAACACCGAUGGCGAAGGCAGCCUCCUGAUAACACUGACGCUCAUGCACGAAAGCGUGGGGAGCAAACAGGAUUAGAUACCCUGGUAGUCCACGCCCUAAACGAUGUCAACUAGCUGUUGGGGCCUUCGGGCCGUAGCGCAGCUAACGCGGUGAAGUUGACCGCCUGGGGAGUACGGUCGCAAGAUUAAAACUCAAAGGAAUUGAUUGGGACCCCGCACAAGCGGUGGAUAUGAUUAAUUCGAUGCAACGAAAAACCUUACCUACCUUGACAUGUCUGAAUCCCGAAGAGAUUUUAAGAGUGCUCGCAAGAGAACCGGAACACAGGUGCUGCAUGGCUGUCGUCAGCUCGUGUCGAGAUGUUGUCAUUCCGCACCAGCGCAAACCUUGUCAUUAGUUGCUACGAAAGGCACUGACGAGACUGCCGGUGACAAACCGGAGGAAGGUGGGGAUGACAUCAAGUCCUCAUGGCUCCCAGGUAGGCUUCACGCCAUACAAUGGUCGGGACAGAGGGUCGCCAAACGCGAGGGGGAUGGUCCGGGAAACCCGAUCGUAGUCCGGAUCGCAGUCUGCAACCUCGACUGCGUGAAGUCGGAAUCGCUAGUAAUCGCGGAUCAGCAUGUCGCGGUGAAUACGUUCCCGGUCUUGUACACACCGCCCGUCACACCAUGGGAGUGGGUUUUACCAGAAGUAGCGUCAACCGUAAGGAGGGCGAUUACCACGGUAGGAUUCAUGACUGGGGUGAAGUCGUAACAAGGUAG
rnacentral:rRNA from 1 species